GGGGGUGCACCGGUUUCGACGGGUGUGGUCGCGAACUUGAGCUGCAGGUGAGGUCUGCCUGUCCUCUUGAACAGACAAAAACUAUAACUGCCGAAGACAAUCGUCAGUUCGCACUGGCUGCUUAAUCAGCUGAUGCCGGAAUGUGCAGGGCGCUGCUCCGAGCUUUGUACAAUUCCGUUGCCAAACGGAGCUUGCCGUAUAUGCGGUUCGUAGCAUAUGCGGGACUUUUUACGAAAUACGGAGCCGACGCUUGCGGCGUUGCUACCGGCUCCCGACAACCGCCUCGCGCCGCUAAACCUGUAGAGGCUCCUGAUCCGCACAUUCGGACGGGAGUUCAACUCUCCCCAUCUCCA
rnacentral:tmRNA from 1 species